UUUACCCCUCCAAGCAACCCCCUCUCUCCUUCCAUUCUAUUUCUCUCUACCAUACAUAUAGUAUAUAUAUCUUGAGAUAGAGAGAGAGACAGAGAAAGAAGAGGAAUACAACACCCUAUAUGUAAUAUGUGUAUGUAUAUAUUCAAUUCUCAUAGUAGUAUAGUAAUAGUAUAAUUUCUGUCUCUCUCUAGAGGUAGAGGUUGUACAUGUUGUGUAAGUGGGUUAGUUAGCCUAGAAGUAGCAUCAACUGGUGGUUCUAGUCUGUCCAAAUCCCUCCCACUCUCUAACGGAUCUAACCCCUUAAUUUUCUAUCUCUAUAUUCUCUUUUAUUUCCCACUUAUCUUCUUUCUUCCUCAUCAAUCAUCAUCAUCUUCAUCUUUUCUUCUUCCUACACAUACAUAUGUUUCUUGAUAAAUAAUCCCUUUUGAGCUCUGAUUGUUGAGUUUGCAAACAAGGAAAGAUUGAAUUAGAGCCUGAUCAACUUAAAUAUAGACAUAUAUAUUAUCUCUGUUGUUAGUCGUCGUGAUGUGCAGUAGAGGCCAUUGGAGGCCGGCCCAGGAUGAGAAGCUGAGGGAAUUAGUUGAAAGAUCCUGGAACGCCAUAGCUGAGAAGCUUCAUGGUAGAUCAGGGAAGAGUUGUAGGCUGAGAUGGUUCAAUCAAUUGGAUCCCAAAAUCAACCGCAACCCCUUCACGGAGCCACAGGAUUCAUGGCAACCGGUGGGCCAUAAUAGCGCGGCUUUUCCCAGGACGCACAGACAACGCCGUCAAAAAUCACUGGCACGUAAUAAUGGCUAGAAAAUGCAGAGAGAGAUAAAAAAUCUAUGAGAAACGAUCAAAGAUUGAUAAUGGCAGCAGAGGGAAAAAAUUGAGCUUUAAUGGCCCUCUAAAUCUAAUGGAGAAUUUUCAAGAGAGGUUCGAGUGUCCGUUGAGAUAUAAUUUUCAAAUUGCAGAGUGGAAUCAUCCUCAAUUUUGUCACACGCCAAUUACUAGAAUGAACACAGAUGAAGGUAAUAUAUUAUAUUUUUUUACUUAUAUAAUUACGUUAUGUUUUGAUGACUUUUUUUAAAAGAAAUAGUACUAUAAGUUUAGGGUUUAGACAAUCAAUGGCAUUUUAUAUUUUAGUUGUGGUUAUACUUGUACAUACUUGCUACUCCUCACUCAUGCAAAAUAGUUUAUUUCUUACUAAUAUAGUAAUAUCUCAACUUCUUUGACAUGUAUUUUUUCGAACUUAUUAAACUGAUCUCAUGACUUGAGAAGAAUCCUUUAUUAAUUAAUUAGCUUAUAUAUUAAUGUUUAA